UACGUAGGGCGCAAGCGUUGUCCGGAUUUAUUGGGCGUAAAGAGCGUGUAGGCGGCCAGGUAGGUCUGCUGUGAAAACUCGAGGCUUAACCUCGAGCUGUCGGCGGAAACCAUCUGGCUAGAGUCCGGAAGAGGAGAAUGGAAUUCCCGGUGUAGCGGUGAAAUGCGCAGAUAUCGAGAGACACCCGGUGGCGAAGGCGG
rnacentral:rRNA from 1 species